rnacentral:rRNA from 1 species
CCUCUGGAGGCAGCAGUUGGAAUAUUGCUCAAUGGGGGGAAACCCUAUGCAGCAACGCCGCGUGGAGGAGAAAGGAUCUGUCUGUAAUCCUUUUUCCAGGAAAGACUUAGGACGGUACCUGCGAAUAACCCGCUAACCUACGUGCCAACAGCCGCGGUAAUAGUAGGGGGCGAACCUUGUCCGAUUUCUGGGUAAAACCGUGGGGCUUUUAAAUUAGAAUGAAAUCUCCGGCUCAACCCGGAAUUCUUUUCAUACUGCCCAGCUGAGGCGCAGAGGUCUGGAAUUACCCGGUGUAGGUGAAAUGCUGAUAUCGGAGGAACUCCAGCAGCGAAGGCUCUCUGGUCGUUUCCUGACGCUAGGCGCGAAGCUGGGUAGCAAACGGAUUAGAUACCCCGGUAGUCCCGCCUAAACGAUGUUACUUGUGUUGGGGUAUGGAACCUCUGUGCGCAUUCUACGCAAUAGGAAUCCCGCCU